GUGUCAGCCGCCGCGGUAAUACGGAGGGUGCAAGCGUUAUCCGGAAUCAUUGGGUUUAAAGGGUCCGCAGGCGGGUUUAUAAGUCAGUGGUGAAAGCCUACAGCUCAACUGUAGAACUGCCAUUGAUACUGUAGAUCUUGAAUUCGGUCGAAGUGGGCGGGAUAUGACAUGUAGCGGUGAAAUGCUUAGAUAUGUCAUAGAACACCGAUAGCGAAGGCAGCUCACUAGGCCUGGAUUGACGCUCAGGGACGAAAGCGUGGGGAGCAAACAGGAUUAGAAACCCGAGUAGUCC
rnacentral:rRNA from 1 species